rnacentral:rRNA from 1 species
AGCGAACGCUGGCGGCAGGCCUAACACAUGCAAGUCGAACGAACCUUUCGGGGUUGGUUGCGGACGGGGGUGGAACGCGUGGGAACGUGCCUUUAGGCUCCGGAAAACUCAUGGAAGUGUGUGCUAACGCCGGAUGAGCCCUGCUAAUGAAAGAUUAAUCGCCUUUAGGGCGGCACGCGUCUGAUUAGCCAGUUGGUUGAGGUAAUGGCUCACUAGGGCUACGUUCAGGAGAUGGUCAGAGAGGAACAACACCGACAUUGGGAGUGGGACACGGCCCAGACUCUUACGGGAGGCAGCAGUGGGGAAUCCAGCCAAAUCGGGUAAAGCCUGAAGGAGUUCGGCCGGGAGAACGCUGAAGGUCUUAGGAUAGAAAAAUUCUUUAAUCGGCGACGAUAAUGACGGUACCCGGAGAAGAAGCCCCGGCUAACUUCGUG